rnacentral:lncRNA from 1 species
UGAGAUUUCUAGUUUAUUUUUUAUUUUUAUUUUUUUUAUAAUUUUUAUUUUUUAUUUUUUUUUUUUUUUAAUUUUUAUUUAUUUAUGAUAGUCACAGAGAGAAAGAGAGAGAGGCAGAGACACAGGCAGAGGGAGAAGCAGGCUCCAUGCACCGGGAGCCCGACGUGGGAUUCGAUCCCGGGUCUCCAGGAUCGCGCCCUGGGCCAAAGGCAGGCGCUAAACCGCUGCGCCACCCAGGGAUCCCAGAUUUCUAGUUUAUUUACAUCAUUGUCAGCACUUGGAAUUGUCAGUUAUGUUGUUUUUUAUAUGUUCUUAUGUUUUACUUUUUUUAUGUUUUAACCUUUCUAGUAAAUAUGUAGUGAUCUAUCUAUCUAUCUAUAUUUUUUUGCCUUUCACUGAUGACCACAGUUUAUGAACAUCUUUUUUGUACUGAUUGGCCAUUCAUAUAUCUUCUUUGGUGAUUUACAGUUCGAACGUUUUGCCCCCUGGGUUAUUUUCUUCAUAUUACUUAGUUUUAAGAUUCCUUUAAAUAUUAUAAAUAUAAGCUUUUUACAGAAAUGAGUUUUUUAAAAUAUUUUAUUUAUUCAUGAGAGAUACAGAGGUAGAGAGAGAGGCAGAGACACAGGCAGAGGGAGAAGCAGGCUUCAUGCAGGGAGCCUGAUGCAGGACUCAAUCCCGGGUCUCCAGAAUCACACCCUGGGCGCUAAGGUGGCACUAAGCUGCUGAGCCACCCAGACUGCCCUUAAAUGAGUUUUGAUAAAUGUUUUCUUCCAAUCUCUUGCUUUUUAAAAAAUAUUUUAUUUAUUUCACAGAGCAAGAGAGAGCAAAAGCAGUGGUGGAGGGAGUAGGGAAGGAACAGAGGCAGAGGGAGAGAGAAACAGACUGCUGAGCAGGGAGCCUGCCCUAGGGACUUGAAUCCAGGACCUUGAGAUCUUGGCCUAAGGCCAAGGCAGAGGCUUAACCAACUGAGCCACCCAGAUGCCCCCCAUUGCUCCUUUUUUCAGAACCUUAAUAUAUCUUUUUAAGAAUGGAAGUUUUUGGUUUUCAUAUUGCUAAUUUUGUCCUUUAUUUCUAUAAUAUGUUUGUGUCCUAAGAAAUCUUUGCCUAAUGACUACAGAUAUUUCCUGCUAUACAUUCCUCCAGAAAUAUUAUACAUUUAGGUCUAGGAUACAUUUUGAGUUAAUUGUUUUAUUGUAGUAUGGAUGAAAGAUCGAGGUUCAUCCUUUUACGUAAAGCUAUCUAAUUUCCCAGCACUAUUUGUUGAAAAAAACACUCCCCUUUCCCUAUUAGAUUACUUUGGCACUGUGUCAAAUAUCAACUGACUAGAUAUGUUUGGAAUUAAUUCUGUACUCCAUUCUGGUCUAUCGAUCUACCUGUCUAACAAUUUGCCAAUAACACUCUCUUGAUUGUACUUUUAUAGUAAUUCUUCAAAUUAGAUAAUGUGGAAGUUCCAGCUUCAUUAAUCUUCUUAAAAUUUGUUUUGAGUAUUUUAAGUCCUGGCAAGUUAUAUGUAAAUUUUAAAAUAUACUUGAAAAUUUCUAUUUAAAAAGAGGGUGUUUGAGUUUUGAUUUUGAUUGUAGUAAAUCUGCAGGUUAAUUUGGGAAGAUUGACCUCUUAAUAUUGAGGUUUCCAAACCGAGAAUGUGGCAUAUCUCUGUGUAUUUAGGUCUUAUUUAAUUUCUCUCAGUAAUAUGUCAUAGUUCUUGAAGUAUAGUUCCGGCAUAUAUUUUUAAAAGGUAUCCUUAAAUUCAUGCUUUUGAUGAUAUAUUAAAUCAUAUUUUAUUAAAUUUAAGUUCCAAUUCUGUUUUCAACAUAUAAAAGUGUGAUUAAUUUUUAUGGCGACCUUAUGUAGUCUUACUAGACUCAAUUUUUUUUAAAGAUUUGAGGGAGAGAGAGCCAUUCCACACUGAGCAGGGAGCCCAACGUGGGGCUCUAUCCCAGGACCCUGGGAUCAUGACCUAAGCUGAGCGCAGAUGCUUAACUGACCAAGCCACUCAAGCACACCCUAGACUGAAUUAUUAUGGUAGACAAUUUUUUAUCUUUUCAUAAGAAGGAUUUACUUUUUCCUUUCCUAUCUGUACACCUUUUUUUCCUUUUUCUUAUGGGCAAAAAACAUUGGAAAGCUCUGAAGGUUAUCAAUUUUUAUUAGUGUCAGAAAUAUUUUGGAAUUCUUCCUUUGUAGUAUUUUAUUUUUAAUUUCUUUUGAACAGAUAGGAAAAGUAAGUUCUUAGAAGUAGGGUAUCUAUCAAAGCUUUGGGAAGGAAGGCCAAUACCUAUAAUGAAUCAUGUCACAUUCACUCCAUUGGCUUAAAUGUAAUAAGUGUAAAAUGGCCACAGGAAUCUUUUCACUUCAUUUAUAUUUAUUAUAGAAAUAGACAACAUGACAAGUAUAUACCAUAUGAAAAUUUUCAAUUAUAUAGAUUGAUCUUAUUAUUCACUCAUUCCUAGGUGGAUUUCUAGUCCAUUAUUACUUUAGAAAUAUAGAUGAGCUUUUUCUUGUUUUGAAAACUGCUAUGCUACCACUGUGGAGAGCAUCUCAUCAAAGGAUAUUGCUCUACCUCAGGGUAGACUCAGUCUUCAAGCUGAGAGAGCAGGAGGCCCCUGAUGCACAUCUGCAGUGACAGCAGAUGACACUGGACCCAUGAAAGCUAGGAGUCUUAAAUUCUAUGGGAGAGGGCUCCUUUGUAAUGGUUGGUCCUCCAAAGAGUGUUGCUUUUCACACCUUUACUGUGACAGAUUGUAAAUAUAUUCCUAAAUAUGCUUAAGAUACAUGAAAUGAUUCUUCUGUCGUCAUAAAUCUAUUGAAGCUUUUAUGGUUAUGCAAAUCAGACAACUCCUACACUGAUGUUUAGAUUCUAUGACCAUCUAUGACCGUGACUUAGAUUUACCACUUAUGCUUCUAUACAUUUUACAAUAUCACACAACAAUCUAGCUUUAUUAAAUUUAUGAAGUUUUAUUGAAUUGUUUAAAUUAGCAACUGUAGAUUUCAUGUUUGAAUUCAUAUACAUUAACAUAUUUUCCAAAUAUAAUGUUCAAACAUAUUAUUUAUAGCCAAUAUGAUCAUUUUAAACUUCAUGAAAUUGUCAUUCAUCUGAUUUUACAUUGAAACUUCAAUUUUUUUCCAUGUUACCUUUCUAAAACAGUUGAUCAAAAUAAUAAGCUAUUCUCAGUAUUAUUCUAUUGUGUCAAAGUUAUUAUUUUAUCUUGAAUUGUGCAUUUGCAGAUAGUAGUAAAGAAAGUAAGAAACUUGGAUGUUUUUGUACAUUGUUGUUAUAUUUGGCUUUUUCCUCUAACAUAUUCAUUCAAGAUUACCAAUAAUUUAUCUCAUGGAGUCAUUUAUGAACAUAAUGUUUUCAAACUCCUUCAUUUAACUCCACGACUUAAUUAAAAAGCAGCUUGGUACUUGCUCUCAGGCUAUUUCUAAACAUUAAUUCUCUAGAAAGUUCUCAAAGCCAGCAAUGUUUGCUUUAUAUUAAAAUGAUUUCUAAUUAAAUCCUUGAUUUUUAAAUUUACAUGUGAAUGUUAAGAAAUAGAUUUUAUUAUCAUAGCUAAUUUUUGCAUGA